rnacentral:lncRNA from 1 species
GCAUGAUUAACAUCUGCAACAACUACUAACAUUGGGCGUCUAAUAUUGGAGUUGGAGGAGCCUGCUCUUCAAGCAGGGCAGUGCAGGACUAUCUCUUGAUGUAUGCCACUGAAGUAAAUCGUAUGUUUGUUCUUGUGUGAUUGCACAAACACUUUCAGCAUUGCCACAAACUCAAAAAUCCCAGAAAACAAAAGAAAAUCCAUCCUCUACUUCUGAAGGCUGAAGCCACCAACCAACCUAUGGUCUCUGUACAUAUAAUGCCGUGUAUGAAAUGUAUUGGGACGAAAAAUACACUCUCUGGCUAUCUGCAACAAGGGAUAGAUCAUUAGGUAAAGUUGUAAAUGCAGAUAUAAAGAAUUAACCACCUGUAAAUAAGCAUAAAUGAAAAUGAGAUGAAUAGAGGAUUCCCUACUGCACCGUGUCUUUUAUUUUGUCCUCAUGAACCACGCUUGAUCAUGAUUAAAAAUACCUAACUAUCAUGUAAAAAAAGUAUUUCUACUUCAAGUAGCAUUCCCAGUAAGAUAAAUGACAGUGCAUGAUCAUAACAUCUAUUUUAUUUUAUUUUUGGCGACGAAAUUUAUCACCUCUAGUUCAGCUGAACGUAAAUGAGAUGCAACAUUUCCCCAACUAAUGGAAACAUUUGAAAUGUCAGGAUAAACAACAGAAGAACUGUGAACAAGAACUUACGGAUUCCUGGAUAGCACAAAUUUACGCAAGAAAAAGGGGAAAACAAAUGGGACUAGGAAGACACAGCUGAUCACCUACCUAAACUGUAAGAACAAGUGGAUC